rnacentral:tRNA from 1 species
AGGCGGGUAGUUCAGUUGGUAGAACGCGUGUCUCCAAAACACGAAAUCACUGGUUCGAUUCCAGUCCCGCCUG